rfam:Danio rerio unplaced genomic contig NA155, GRCz11 reference primary assembly.
GGCUCGUUGGUCUAGGGGUAUGAUUAUCGCUUCGGGUGUGAGAGGUCCCGGGUUCAAAUCCCGGACGAGCCC